rnacentral:rRNA from 1 species
GACGAACGCUGGCGGCGUGCUUAACACAUGCAAGUCGAACGGAAAGGCCCUGCUUGCAGGGUACUCGAGUGGCGAACGGGUGAGUAACACGUGGGUGAUCUGCCCUGCACUUCGGGAUAAGCCUGGGAAACUGGGUCUAAUACCGGAUAGGAGCCAUUUUUAGUGUGAUGGUUGGAAAGUUUUUUCGGUGUAGGAUGAGCUCGCGGCCUAUCAGCUUGUUGGUGGGGUAAUGGCCUACCAAGGCGGCGACGGGUAGCCGGCCUGAGAGGGUGGACGGCCACAUUGGGACUGAGAUACGGCCCAGACUCCUACGGGAGGCAGAAGUGGGGAAUAUUGCACAAUGGGCGCCAGCCUGAUGCAGCGACGCCGCGUGGGGGAUGACGGCCUUCGGGUUGUAAACUCCUUUCGCUAGGAACGAAGCUUUUUGUGACGGUACCUAGAUAAGAAGCACCGGCUAACUACGUG